GAAACCGGCGGGUUAGGACGUCAACAACAGCCAACAAAUUAUUAGAAAUGAAGACCAUUUGUGAAAUGAAGAUUUUCAGGUUCCUGGCCACAUAUGUUCUCAUGUAUUUUCGAACGGACUUUCUCUGACUGUUGACCGCGGAAAACCGUGAACGAGGUUAUCAGAGAGCUGCGAUAAGAGAGGAAAACGGAGAGGAAGAGAAGCAGCCCGACGCGGUGUGAAGGAAUGGAAUAAACCCCAGAGCAGAACCAGAGGAAGGAGGGAUGACUGCCGUGAGAUGAAAGAGGGAUAGAGCAGGACACAGAACAACUCGAGAGACCAUUCAGCUGUGAAGAGACAGAAGAAGCCAGAAGAUCACACAAACACCCAAAGGUGAGAUGCAGAGGACGAGACCAAGAGGAAGCAGAGAAGAUGUCUGCAUUAAUUUCCAAGCGUUCAGUCUCUCUACAUAUAUUUCACGUGGAUGCAGUACCCAACUCUCACCUCUGGGGGUCACUACUGUCCUGCCCUGGAGGCCUGAGCUGCCUUUCCCCCUCGGCCAGCUCCACUUCCUCUUCACCUGCCACAUGAUCAUCACCCUGUACUUUCCUUUCACUUCUGGCUUCGCACGUGUAUGCCUCCGCCUCCAAGGGGAUGGCGUUCUGGAAGCAGUGUAAAAGAGAUGACGCCCUCCUCGGCCUUCCACACCUGGAAGAUGUACUGCACCCUGGAGCACAGUCUCUGUCGCAAAAUGGUGGGAAAGACAUGGACAUACACUUGCUAUUGUAAUAUAUUUUAUUUGCACAUUCAUAGUCAUUGUCCUUUGCAAUACAAUUAUACAACUUAAUUUGUAAACUUAAGGCAAUGAGUGUAAGGGCUGCAGUGGUUUAUCAUAUAAACACACAAAUCAAAUCAAAUCAAAUUUAUUUAUAUAGCCCUUCGUACAUCAGCUGAUAUCUCAAAGUGCUGUACAGAAACCCAGCCUAAAACCCCAAACAGCAAGCAAUGCAGGUGUAGAAGCACGGUGGCUAGGAAAAACUCCCUAGAAAGGCCAAAACCUAGGAAGAAACCUAGAGAGGAACCAGGCUAUGUGGGGUGGCCAGUCCUCUUCUGGCUGUGCCGGGUGGAGAUUAUAACAGAACAUGGC
ensembl:lncRNA